CCUACGCGUGGCUGCAGUGGGGAAUAUUGGACAAUGGGCGAAAGCCUGAUCCAGCCAUGCCGCGUGUGUGAAGAAGGCCUUCGGGUUGUAAAGCACUUUCAGUGGGGAAGAAAGCCUUGGGGCUAAUACCCUCGAGGAAGGACAUCACCCACAGAAGAAGCACCGGCUAACUCCGUGCCAGCAGCCGCGGUAAUACGGAGGGUGCGAGCGUUAAUCGGAAUUACUGGGCGUAAAGCGCGCGUAGGCGGUCUGAUAAGCCGGUUGUGAAAGCCCCGGGCUCAACCUGGGAACGGCAUCCGGAACUGUCAGGCUAGAGUGCAGGAGAGGAAGGUAGAAUUCCCGGUGUAGCGGUGAAAUGCGUAGAGAUCGGGAGGAAUACCAGUGGCGAAGGCGGCCUUCUGGACUGACACUGACGCUGAGGUGCGAAAGCGUGGGUAGCAAACAGGAUUAGAUACCCCAGUAGUC
rnacentral:rRNA from 1 species